AAGCUCGUAGUUGAAUUUCGGGAUCAAUGGAUUGGUCAUGCCGAUGGUAUGUACUGGUCAUAUUGGUUCUCACCUUCUAAGGAACCAUAAUGUCAUUUAUUUGAUGUUGUGGGGAAUUAGGACUGUUACCUUGAAAAAAUUAGAGUGUUUAAAGCAGGCUAACGCUUGAAUACAUUAGCAUGGAAUAAUGAAAUAGGACAUCGCAUUCUAUUUUGUUGGUUUCUAGGAUCGAUGUAAUGAUUAAUAGGGAUAGUUGGGGGCAUUAGUAUUCAAUUGUCAGAGGUGAAAUUCUUGGAUUUAUUGAAGACUAACUACUGCGAAAGCAUUUGCCAAGGAUGUUUUCAUUAAUCAAGAACGAAAGUUAGGGGAUCGAAGACGAUCAGAUACCGUCGUAGUCUUAACCAUAAACUAUGCCGACUAGGGAUCGGAUGAUGUUGAUUUUUUAAUGACUCAUUCGGCACCUUACGGGAAACCAAAGUGUUUGGGUUCCGGGGGGAGUAUGGUCGCAAGGCUGAAACUUAAAGGAAUUGACGGAAGGGCACCACCAGGCGUGGAGCCUGCGGCUUAAUUUGACUCAACACGGGGAAACUUACCAGGUCCAGACAUAGCAAGGAUUGACAGACUGAGAGCUCUUUCUUGAUUCUAUGGGUG
rnacentral:rRNA from 1 species